rnacentral:rRNA from 1 species
AUGUUGAUGCAAGAAUAUUUCACGGAGAAUCCUACAUAUCCACCGCACCUCUUCCGGAGAAGGUACCGAAUGCGCCGAUCCCUCUUUGUGAAACUUGUUCAAGCUUGCGAGGCAAAUUGCCGGUAUUUUACUCAAAGAAUAAAUGCCGAGGGCUUAAAGGGAUUUAGAGCAUAUCAAAAAAUCUCUGCAGCUAUGCGGGUGAUUGCAUAUGGCGUUCCGGCUGACUAUGCCGAUGAGUCAUUGGUGAAGAUACUACAAUUGAGUCUGUGCGUAGAUUUUGCAAAAGUGACCAUCUGUGUCUUUAGUCCUGAGUAUCUUCGGGCACCCAACGAAGAUGUGAUGCCCGGAUAA